rnacentral:rRNA from 1 species
UGUAGAGUUUGAUCCUGGCUCAGAUUGAACGCUGGCGGCAUGCUUUACACAUGCAAGUCGAACGGCAGCGCGGGGCAACCUGGCGGCGAGUGGCGAACGGGUGAGUAAUAUAUCGGAACGUACCCAAGAGUGGGGGAUAACGUAGCGAAAGUUACGCUAAUACCGCAUACGAUCCAAGGAUGAAAGUGGGGGAUUCGCAAGAACCUCAUGCUCCUGGAGCGGCCGAUAUCUGAUUAGCUAGUUGGUGAGGUAAAGGCUCACCAAGGCGACGAUCUCUAGCUGUUCUGAGAGGAAGAUCAGCCACACUGGAACUGAGACACGGACCAGACUCCUACGGGAGGCAGCAGUGGGGAAUAUUGCACAAUGGAGGAAACUCUGAUGCAGCCAUGCCGCGUGCAGGAAGACUGCCCUAUGGGUUGUAAACUGCUUUUAUAUAGGAAGAAACCUUUCCACGUGUGGAGAGCUGACGGUACUAUAAGAAUAAGGAUCGGCUAACUCCGUGCCAGCAGCCGCGGUAAUACGGAGGAUCCAAGCGUUAUCCGGAAUCAUUGGGUUUAAAGGGUCCGUAGGUGGAUAAUUAAGUCAGAGGUGAAAUCCUGCAGCUCAACUGUAGAAUUGCCUUUGAUACUGGUUGUCUUGAGUUAUUAUGAAGUAGUUAGAAUAUGUAGUGUAGCGGUGAAAUGCAUAGAUAUUACAUAGAAUACCAAUUGCGAAGGCAGAUUACUAAUAAUCAACUGACACUGAUGGACGAAAGCGUGGGGAGCGAACAGGAUUAGAUACCCUGGUAGUCCAUGCCGUAAACGAUGUCUACUAGCCGUUGGGGCCUUUGAGGCUUUAGUGGCGCAGCUAACGCGAUAAGUAGACCGCCUGGGGAGUACGGUCGCAAGAUUAAAACUCAA